AUGUGCUUGUUUAUGCAGUCUCUUACAGUUUUGAUGUUUAGAUCAAUGGUGAGGUUUCUAACAUCAUUAAUUAGUGAGCCUUCCACUUCAAUCCCAACAUUACUAUACUAUAGUGGUCUUUUGCCUCACAAUGUUGUUCUAUUGAGAAUGGUUCGACAUGAGUUGCUUCAUCAAGAAAACUACCUCUUCCAUUUUCUUAUUAGCUUAAUGAGUUGCUUUUGGUGA